GACAAGGUCCCAGAUAAGCCCAUAUAAACACAUUAGGUUUAUUUUGGACAAAUCUUGUCGAGAGUGAACCCUCUCGCUUCGCCUCUUCCUCUCUGUUGUGGAUAUGUAUUUUGCUACUAUGUAUCCUUAACCCCAACACAAUUCUGCCUGGACUCAAUAUAACUGUGAUUUCUUUUAACGUUACAUCGCCAUCUUUAUGGGAAAUGUGGUUCUCUGCUUGAAAAAUAUAGCUACUACAACAUCCAUGCGUAGGCAAUCCGGAAGAGUGCAGCCGGUGACGUAUUCAAGAAAAUACUCGAUUCGUUUAAAAAAUAUACAUAAUUAGAGCAGAAAACCUCCGUGUUUACACAAUGUCCUCGUUAGGAAUACUCGUAGGCUAUUUUCUCCCAAUAACUGCAAACAUGAGUACCAUUUUUGCAGUACUUCUUGUUUUUGUUGGGUGCUGCAGCAAUGUUGUGUUUCUGGAAACGCUUGUAAGAGAGUUCCCAGGAUGUGGCAACAUUGUGACCUUCGCUCAAUUUGCCUUCAUUGCAUUGGAGGGGUUCAUCUUCGAGACGAACUUUGGAAGAAAGAAACCAGCCAUCCCUAUGAGCAACUAUGUAAUCAUGGUGACCAUGUUCUUCACAGUCAGUGUGAUCAACAACUAUGCUCUCAACUUCAACAUCGCUAUGCCUCUGCACAUGAUCUUCAGAUCUGGAUCGUUAAUAGCUAAUAUGAUCCUGGGUAUAAUAAUUCUGAAGAAAAGGUAUUCAAUGAGUAAAUAUCUCUCCGUAGCGAUGGUGUCUCUGGGCAUCUUCAUAUGCACCAUCAUGUCCGCCAAACAAGUGAAUGUAGGUACUAAGGGUUCAGAUGAUCAAGGUGUAUAUGCCUUCCUGCACUGGCUGAUAGGUAUCGCCAUGUUGACCUUUGCACUGCUCAUGUCUGCGAGAAUGGGUAUUUUCCAGGAGACCCUAUACAAGCAGUAUGGCAAACACUCCAAGGAGGCUCUCUUCUAUAAUCACUGCUUGCCUCUGCCUGGGUUCCUGCUUCUGUCCUCAGACAUCUACAACCACGGUGUCCUCUUCAGUCAAAGCACUCCUGUAGAGGUUCCUGUGAUUGGCCAGGCUGUGCCGGUGUUGUGGCUGUACCUACUGCUGAACGUCAUUACACAGUAUCCUUUACAAUACUUUCACAGUGAAUACUGUAUUUGUGUGUAGUCACUACACACAAAUAAAACAUUUCAAUCAUGUUUUAUUGUCACAUACACAGGAUAGAUGCAGAGAAAUGUGUUGUUUUACAGGGUCAGCCAUAGUAGUACGGCACCCCUGGAGCAAAGUAGGGUUAAUUGCCUUGCUUAAGGGCACAUCGACCGAUUUUUCACCUUGUAGGCUCGGGUAUUCGAACCAGGGACUACCUGCCUGCCGCCACGAAUCCCUUCACCGCCUGGCACUGGGUGGGCACUGGAGUCGUCUUCCUGGGUACCCUGAUCUACACGGAGGUCUGGACUAGCAUCUGCACGGCGUUAAGAGGAAGUGAAAAGCUGAAGAAGAAAAAGACGUAGUAAAGAAGGCGGAGUGAUACGCAGCACUUUCGUCAAUUCCUUGCAUCCUCUCUCUUUGCCUCAAAAAUAAUUGAAGAAGAGGAUCCACGGGGGGGGGGGGAGACCUUCUUCUCCAAUAUGGUUGAGAAGGAGUAGAAGUGAGAGGAUGCAGGAAAUCACAGAAAGACAAAUUGAGAUAGAGCCAACGUCACAAGAGAGUGCCUUUGACUGCACUGUUGUGUGUGUGUAUAUGGGACUAGAUUUGUUGUGGGUGUGAUUGCACACUCUGGAGCCUGUUUCCCCCCUCGCUCUCUACUGCAGUUGCAGUAGGAGCAGGUUGGUUUUUAAUAGAAUCAUCAUAAAAAAUGUAUUGUUUUCAUUGCUUGAACAAUUACCUUUGAAAAAAAGCCUUCCCACUAGGUUUCUCACUUAACCCAUUUUAAGGACAUAACCUUAACAAAAACUACCUUGUUGACUGAAUAAGUCAAGGCAAGAUUUUUGCAAAACUGAUUGUAUGGAGAUAACCUACUGUUUUGUUAGUUUUGUUUGUUUGGUGAGCUGUAUUUCUUUAGGUGUUUUGCUAAAUAUGAGUUUUGCUGAGCUGUGACUCAAAAGUAUGUGUCUGUCAACAUGUAAUUGAACACCAGAAAAAUUAUUAUACCGGUAUAUGGACAAAACAUAUUACUGUACUCUGAUUAGCAUAAUUUUGAAAUACUAAAUGACAAAAAGUGAGUUCACCACCUCAAUGUUAUACAAACUGAUGUUAGUGAAACACAAAAGUUACAAGUAUUAUUUUCAUGUAUUCUGAAUAUGAUACUUGCUCAGAUUUUAUUGUAGGAAUAUUUCCUCAGGAGGAUUUUUGUCCUUUCAAAAUAGUACUUGGCAGGUCCAGCAACUUUGUCUUGAAAAAAAACCAAAACCAUGAAAAUGCAUUUUCCUACACUCCAGAAUCACUGCACCAUUAAUUCUCAACCUACUGAAAUAAAAAGUUCUACCCUAUA